CUGGGCCUUUAAAUAAAGAAACUUCAUAGCCCUGGGUGAGGGGGAUAAUCAUCCUCAGCUGCUGCAUCUGGCCCACGGGCAGUAGUUUGAGGACUCCUGGGAGGUUUGAACUUUCCUUGGAAGGGAAACUGAGUUAGGUUGCUAGAACAAAGCAUACCACCACUAGCCAAAUUCUCUAUUUAUAUGUCAUAUUAUUAUUAUAUCGUCAUAUUUAUAUAUAACAUAAGAGUCAUAAUGGAGAUGUCUUCUCCUCCCUUUCCUCUUCCUCCUCCUCCUCCUCUCCCUCUCCUCUCUCCAAAUUCCUUUCACGGAGUCAUAUCUGAAGGAGAACUAGGUCCUAUACGAAGCUUUGCUGCCCAUUCCCGGCCGACAGUUUCUGUCCUCCACUGGCCGGGAUGCUGCCCGCUGUCUGAAUUGGAGCAGGUAAUCAGUUGUUUCUGGGAAAGACUGCGGCAAUCUGGAGUAGAAGAAAGUGCGAUGGCUUCGGAAACUCAGUCAAGUCCAGCCUAUAAUCUCCAGCUGUCAAGAAGAGUAAUGCAGUACAGUACACAGUGCCCGUUCUUUGGUAGUAAAGGAAAUGAAGCUACUGGUCCCACUGAGAUGAGCUUGCCCGAGCCAGUUCUGGAGGUGUGAAUCCUCUGCUCCGGUGGGAACCCUAUUUCUCCAGCCUUCUGACAAAGGAUCAUCACACAGAUAACUUUCAAUAUUCAGAGAAAUGCUUUGGUGAACAUUCAAAAACAACAUCACUUCCACAUUGAAAGAAGCAACUGAAAAUAUAAUGGGAAGACUACUGAUUGUCGGAAGUGAGGGUGAUAGAAGACUGGUUAUGGUCGAGCUACUUACUAGUUAUGUGACUGAAGCAAUCUCUUCUUUUCUCUGACUGCCAUUUUCCUCAUCUCUACAUUGACAGUACUACAGAAAGUAUUAUCAACUUCCUCUACUUAAGUUCUGCUUCUAAACUUAUCUCAUUUGUCAUGAAGGACAUCAGCUUGAAUUCUCAGGACUAACUGUCAGGUUUCAUCAAGGUAGAAGGACUUUGGACCUGAUGAUUAACUGCAUGUCUUAAUGUCAAGACCAAGUCACUAAACUGGAAGAGCUUCAUCAUCCAGUUGACCACAUGGAACAAAUACUUUGGUCACAAAAACUCCCUUUUCUUUUUAAAAAUUUUAUUUACUUAUUCUGUAACAUUUUAGUGAUUUUUUUGCUUAUAUACAUCCAUCUUUUCCCAAUACAACCAGAAACCCAUCUUUUAUAACAAAUGACAUUUUUUUUUAAAGAGAGAGGGAACAAAAAACGGUAAUUUUAGCAAAAUUAGCCAAAUCUCCUGGUACAUGUGAUUUUCCACAUCAACUCUUCUAUCUCUGCAAAAAAAGAGGAGAAUUUCUCAUUCCUUCUUCAAGUCAUGAUAAUUUUAUAGCAUUUCACUUUUAGUUUUGUUGUUGUUGUUCCUAUUAACAUUGUCAUAAUUGUUCAUGAUAUUUUCCUGAUUCUGCCUAUUUUAUGUUGCCUCAGUUCAUAC
rnacentral:lncRNA from 1 species